GCCACGGUGGCCGAGUGUGGUCAAAGGCGUGAGACUCCUGAUCUCUUUCGGGCAACCGAUCGCAGGUUCGAAUCCUGCCCGUGGCA
ensembl:tRNA